rnacentral:tRNA from 1 species
CCUUCGAUAGCUCAGUUGGUAGAGCGGUGGACUGUAGAAAAUUUGGAAAGUGAACAAACUGCUCCUCUACAGGGAGGUGCAUUUGAUCAAUCAAAAGCUUUCCGAUCGUGUAGAGAAAUCCAUAGGUCACUGGUUCAAAUCCGGUUCGAAGGA